rnacentral:tRNA from 1 species
AUUUAUGUAGUUUAAAAUAAAACCUUACAUUUUCACUGUAAAAAUAAGAUUUUUUUAUCUUUAUAGAUA